GUCAAAUGCCAAUGAUGUCAUCUACCGGACACCGCCCCGAUUGAAACCGAAAGUAAACAAAAGGACAAAAAUCGCUUUUUUCGGCUUUAUUAAUUGAUGCCGUUUUUUGAGGGGAAAAGACUACACGUUUCUACCAGAAGAUGGCGAUUGUGAGUUACAAGAAGUGUUGCACAACUGCAGAGAAGAUGAAUGUCUUGUUUUUCUCCACAGCUUGAACAAACCACAAAGGAAACUGGGAGUCAGACAUCUAAUUUUGGCUGUACCCAAAAGCAAAACAGGCUGGACCAAGAUGAGCAUAAGGGAAAAAAAAUCAGCUAUGAUGUAUAUGUUUAAAUUAAUCUAUGUCAUUAUUUUGCAGCCAUUAGCAAGUAUCAUGCAUAUCUGGCUUUAAUUCAGUGAAUGCUUAUUCACUGACAGUUUUACAGUCCUGGAAAAACCUGGCGAAUCAAUGUGAAUGACACUAACAGCUGUACUGAAUAUGCCACAAUAUAGUUGCUCAAACCGGUGUUGAACAUGAAAAACUGCAGGAUGAAAAUGCAUGUGUCUCUACAUGCAUACGACGGAAAGUGUUUUAGGUUAGAACCAAUUUGAAAAAGGUCUCAAAACCUCUGGUCAGUGAAUUGCAGGUAAUAAUUAUAACACAGUGUGAAUUUCAGACAUGUCUUUGUCCUUUGUCUACAUUAAUGAUGCAAUUAUAAAACUUUAUUU